AUUUAUAAAUCGAUAAAAAAAAAAAAAAAAAAUCUGGUCAAUAGACGAAUAAAGAAUCGUUACGAUUGUUAUCAAUUUCAACGUGAUGAUUAUAUAUUAAACGUGUACAAACUAUAGAAAAUUAUUCUAUGCAAGUUGUAGUCGACACCUGUUGCUUCAUAAAGCCGCAUAUCCAUCGGACGGUAUAGCAACAUAUAUGCGCGACGCGACAUUAUAUAAAUGCGCGUUAAGAAUAUCGGAAAAAAUUUUCAAAGGUUAAUAACGAUAAUUGUUUUUAUUCGCAAAAAAAGAGCCGACGCGUCUUUUAUUCGCGCAAUUAUUUACAUUUCCAGUCACGAGAACGAGAUAUGCAAAUUAUCGAGCUUGCCAAUAACUUGUCGUUUUACGCGCAAUAUUUUAGAACUGCAUGAAAGCACGGUAAUCAUGGCCGACUGAAACUACUACGAGCAAAAGAAAAAAAAAAAAGAAAAAAAAAAAGAAAAAAAAAGAGGAAAAAGUACGUCGAGCUUAGUGGCAGACAAAAAUAAGGAACCAAGAAUAAUAAUUGACGGGGGACGCAACGCUAACGUUAAGCAGAGCUACGAUAAGUUACGCCUCGAGAUUAUUUGGAAUUCAGGGCGAUCGAUAACGCGAGAAGACGAUCAGUUGACACAGUGUGAACGCGCCUUUAUGCGUAUAUAUACACACACACAGUAUCAGAUAUGCCUGAUAUGACGUUAGUCUUCUUUACGAUUUCGAUAAUUUGCAUACAUCCGUAAAACUUGUUUAUUAACUGCUAAACAGCUUUUUCACGCUAUUAUAAAUAUCGUUGACCUUUAAAUUCCGUUUCCACAUGUGCCAAAAAAUUUAAAUUUCAAUCUUCCGAUCGAGAGUCCGGAUAGUCAGGAUAAUUGCUAAAGAAUCAACACCGAUUAAUUAUAUCAAAGAUUACAAAAUAUCGUAGUUAUUAAAAAAAAUAGUUACAUAACUUGAAGCAAACAUUAAGCUUAUGUAAAUAAAUAUUAUCUUUGUUGUUACGA